GCAUUAGUAGCUCAGCGCCUAGAGCGUCGGUCUUGUAAACCGGACGUCGGGGGCUAAAAUCCCCCCUACUGCU
rnacentral:tRNA from 1 species